GUCCUGCCUCGUCGGUGGUCGGUGGACCUGGUCAGGUGACGCAUACCGGGCUCUUAAAGGGAAGCAGCGUCACGCUGUCACGCGCCUUUAAGGGGUCUGUGCGCGUUCACGGUUCAUCUGUCUGCAUUCUGCUCCCCGGGCACAGAGAUAUUUUUCUCACAUGAUCGACCCUGUCAUCAUUGGCAGAAGCCCCAGAGGAAAAGACAUAAUGAAUUGUGGGAAGGUGGAGUUAAUGCAGAUGACAGAGAUGGUGCCUAUGACUUCUAAAUAGAGUCUACAGAGAAUAUGCAAAGAGAGAUUGAUCACAGAGAGAAGGGCAACGUUCACGCCAGUAGAACAACAGUUAAAGCUUAAACCCGAAUACCACAAACAAUCAGCAAAUCCUCCUCAAGCGAGUGAUGAAAUACAAUACAAACAGAAAAACACUGAUAACCUCACAGAUAAGCAGCUUGAUCAUGUACUCCAUGAGAGAGGAGAUAAAUCAACUGAGGGAAAAUAACAAAACUCAGAAGUAAUGAAGACAAGAGAAAUUCCAGGAAAGGCAGCAAAGGAAGAAGUAACCACAAUCUUGAGGGGAGAAACAUGGAACUUUUUCUGUAUCUAUGAAAGACACACUUCAACGAAGUGGACAGAAUGGACACUGAAGGUGAGACAACAUGCAGUUAUGUAGAUUGAUGGUUUUGUUAUUAAAUAACAUUUUUACACCAUCUUUUCCUCAAAGACAAUGAAAUUUGUGUCUAGUCAGCUGCAAGUAGU